UUUUUAGUAUAAGUAUGACCCAUGUACUAUUUGGGCUAUACUCAUACUAAAA
rnacentral:pre_miRNA from 1 species